rnacentral:lncRNA from 1 species
GAAAAGUUUUUAGUGGAAUCGAAAUCUAUAAUAAAAAAUCAGGUAUACAAAAUCUAGUAGGAUGGAAUGAAGAUGAUUAUAAGAGAGACAACCAUGCCUGUUUUCUAUACACAAACGGUGUGGAGUGGUUUUUUUUUACUUAUCUACCUCUUUUUUGUUUUUCUUCAGUGAUUUUGUGAAUCUUAGACAUGUAAUCUUAAAAUCCAAUUUAUUUUAAUUGUUCUUUUUCUCGCAGGUGCUUGUAUACAAUUAAUAUAAACUUAAGGAAAUAGACCUAGGUUAAGGGAGAUAACUAUUAAAAUCAUCAGUAUGUUUAUGCCCACCAUCUUCAUCAAUAUAUUGUAAGCUUCUUGGUAACAGAUUAUUUCCAAUCUGUUUCAGGUUAAUGCUUAAAAUACAUUGAUGAAA